AUUGAACGCUGGCGGCAGGCCUAACACAUGCAAGUCGAGCGGAUGAAGGGAGCUUGCUCCUGGAUUCAGCGGCGGACGGGUGAGUAAUGCCUAGGAAUCUGCCUGGUAGUGGGGGAUAACGUCCGGAAACGGGCGCUAAUACCGCAUACGGCCUGAGGGAGAAAGUGGGGGAUCUUCGGACCUCACGCUAUCAGAUGAGCCUAGGUCGGAUUAGCUAGUUGGUUGGGUAAAGGCCUACCAAGGCGACGAUCCGUAACUGGUCUGAGAGGAUGAUCAGUCACACUGGAACUGAGACACGGUCCAGACUCCUACGGGAGGCAGCAGUGGGGAAUAUUGGACAAUGGGCGAAAGCCUGAUCCAGCCAUGCCGCGUGUGUGAAGAAGGUCUUCGGAUUGUAAAGCACUUUAAGUUGGGAGGAAGGGCAGUAAGUUAAUACCUUGCUGUUUUGACGUUACCAACAGAAUAAGCACCGGCUAACUUCGUG
rnacentral:rRNA from 1 species